rnacentral:rRNA from 1 species
GGAGAUGAGGUGCUUGCACCUUAUCUUAGCGGCGGACGGGUGAGUAAUGCUUAGGAAUCUGCCUAUUAGUGGGGGACAACAUUCCGAAAGGAAUGCUAAUACCGCAUACGUCCUACGGGAGAAAGCAGGGGAUCUUCGGACCUUGCGCUAAUAGAUGAGCCUAAGUCGGAUUAGCUAGUUGGUGGGGUAAAGGCCUACCAAGGCGACGAUCUGUAGCGGGUCUGAGAGGAUGAUCCGCCACACUGGGACUGAGACACGGCCCAGACUCCUACGGGAGGCAGCAGUGGGGAAUAUUGGACAAUGGGGGGAACCUGAUCCAGCCAUGCCGCGUGUGUGAAGAAGGCCUAUGGUUGUAAAGCACCUUAGCGAGGAGGAGGCUACUGAGACUAUACUCUGGGAUAGUGACGUUACUCGCAGAAUAAGCACCGCUAACUCUGUGCCAGCAGCCGCGGUAUACAGAGGGUGC